ACUUACAGUCAGACGUUUUGUAAAUGUCGGAGCUGGACCACGAGAGAGUCCUGGACUGAUGGCUCCAGCACACGAUCACUUAGCCACAGGCUGGAGUUGUUAUGCGCAGCACCUUGGCUUGCUUUCCCUAAGCACACCUCAAAUUGAAAGGGAGGUAAAGCCUCAUCAGUGAAACAGGCAAAUGCUGGGGUAGUGAGUCAUCUCCAGCUCUGAGAAGGGGAAAUGCCUAGAGCAAGGGCUACAGCCUUAACAGCCCCACCAGUUCCCAGUUCCAAUAUUGUUUCCUGGAAUGAACUUUUACAACCAGGAAGAAGCUAUUUAAAACCUUCAUUACGAUACUUUAGCAUCUCACCAUGAAGGAUAUUUAAAAGCAAAAUGACCUGAAGCAGGUGUGAGUAAUCUGUGGAUAGAACAGAGCUCUGCUCCAGGCGCAAGCACUGCUGUAGGUAAAGUGCUGAAGAAGAGGAAGACUACAGGCUAUUUAUCCAUGGCGGCAGCACAGCUUGGGGCAAGGCAGAGCUAAGACGACCCCUCUGUCUUUGUGAAGAUGCCAGAGGAAACCACCAAAGAGUUUCAAGCAAAAACCAAGCUGUUCAUCUUAUCAGGAGAAUCUGGGGAAGAAUCUGAUUCCAAAUUCAUUCAGGGUUUUGCCGAUUUGGAUCCUGGGCGUGGACCUAGCACCACUCAUCAAGCCAUGCUGAGGCAUCAUCCCACGUAGCAGAAACAGAAGGACCUACAACUAGAAAUAUAUCAUGAGCAAAGUGCAAAUCUAAAGCAGCCGACCUCAUCUAGACUCAGAACAGAGGCGACUUCCCAGAU
rnacentral:lncRNA from 1 species